GUACCUAUAAAGGAUCCGUCGUGGCGUUAGACUAGCGUCAAGCCCCCCAACUAGUCACGAGUCGCAAAGCAUGGGGCACAAGUCGGUUUAGACGGAUCCGCCGGUGGGUGAUCGUGUUCCAAAUUUUUGGGGCACAUGACGGUAUGCUCGAGACAAAUUCAUUGGUGGGUGAUCGUGUUCCAAAUUUUUGGGGCACAUGACGGUAUGCUCGAGACAAAUUCAUUGGUGGGUGAUCGUGUUCCAAAUUUUUGGGGCACAUGACGGUAUGCUUGAGACGAAUUCAUUGGUGGGUGAUCGGUUACCUAGUGAGAAUAUAUUGAAUGGAUUGUGGCCUAUAAAGAUCAGUUGCAUAUUAUGAUUUGUUGUCUAGCGUCCCUAUGGUUACUUCACAUGUCCCGAUGCUUGUCUAUAACAAUGCUAGGCUUCAAGACGGUUGGUUAGUGAUUGGUUACCUAGUGAUAAUAUACUGAAUGGAUUGUUGAGCGUUGGAAACAAGGAUGUACAAACACCAAUCGGCCUUUGUCCCGAUUGCUGAGUGUUAUGUGCUUGAUGUUGAAGAUUCUUGGCGUCUUUGAUGUAUAUUACAUAGAUAAUCAGUUGCUUUGCAGCAUAAUAGAGCUAAUCAGUUGGCUUGCAACAUAGCAAUUUUGUCUUAGAUUUCAUUGAGGCAUGGUGAUCAUAGGGAUGGGAAGGUGGCUUUCGAGAAUUUUCGCAUCGUUCGGUUCAUUUUGGGGGCUAUUUUGGCUUUUGGUUGCCUACAUGGUGAUUGUGCUAUGUUGGUGGCUAAUUGUUGGAUGGUCUUUGAGUAUGUAGGCCGUAAAGGUGCAUGAGUGGUGUUUGGUUUGUUAUGGGUGGUUGGCUCUUUGCUUGUGCAACAACUUCCACCUGUCUUACCUUUUCAGAAUAUGUUUGGGCUUGGUUAGUCUAAGCAGUUAUUGGGUUUUCUGUGCUCACUACCUAUGUUAUGGCAUUCUCCUGAUUGAUUGGUGUUACUUUUUGAUGUGUGUCAUUGUCAUGAUACAUGAGAACUUUGAAGUAGUCCUUUGUACCGCAAUCUUAAUGCAUGUGUUAAUCUUGUGGCUCAGUAGGUGUUGCUUGGUAUCUUGAAUACAGAAUUUGAUGUGGGCAAAAGGGGUUUCUUGUAUCCUUGAUUUGUCCUUAUUCAGCGUUCAGACUUUAAGAAAAUGACUGUUUAUCCCGUCUUGUGCUUGUGCUAUAGCGGGGGAGAUGUCAAAGAAGAAUGCUAC
rnacentral:misc_RNA from 1 species